CCUACGGGAGGCAGCAGUGAGGAAUAUUGGUCAAUGGUCGGGAGACUGAACCAGCCAAGCCGCGUGAGGGAGGAAGGUACAGAGUAUCGUAAACCUCUUUUGUCAGGGAACAAAGACUGGGACGCGUCCCCGGAUGAGUGUACCUGACGAAAAAGCAUCGGCUAACUCCGUGCCAGCAGCCGCGGUAAUACGGAGGAUGCGAGCGUUAUCCGGAUUUAUUGGGUUAAAGGGGUGCGCAGCCGGUCUGUUAAGUCAGCGGUAAAAGCCCGGGGCUCAACCCGGGCCCGCCGUUGAAACUGGCAGUCGCGAGUGGGAGAGAGGUAUGCGGAAUGCGCGGUGUAGCGGUGAAAUGCAUAGAUAUCGCGCAGAACUCCGAUUGCGAAGGCAGCAUGCCGGCUCCACACUGACGCUGAGGCACGAAAGCGUGGGUAUCGAACAGGAUUAGAUACCCUGGUAGUC
rnacentral:rRNA from 1 species